AGGACGAACGCUGGCGGCGUGCUUCACACAUGCAAGUCGAACGGGGCUCAUUCGGUGGUAACACCGGAGAAGGCCUAGUGGCGAACGGGUGCGUAACACGUGAAGAACCUGCCCCGAAGACUGGGAUAACAGCGGGAAACCGCUGCUAAUACCGGAUGACCCCACCAGGCCGCAUGGCCAGGUGAGGAAAUGGGCCUACCGCUUCGGGAGGGCUUCGCGGCCUAUCAGCUUGUUGGUGGGUAACGGCCUACCAAGGCUACGACGGGUAGCUGGUCUGAGAGGACGACCAGCCACACUGGGACUGAGACACGGCCCAGACUCCUACGGGAGGCAGCAGUGGGGAAUCUUGCGCAAUGGGCGAAAGCCUGACGCAGCAACGCCGCGUGAGGGAUGAAGGUCUUCGGGUUGUAAACCUCUUUCGAGCGAGGGACGUAUUGUGACGGUACCUGCAGAAGAAGCUCCGGCAACUACGCGCCAGCAGCCGCGGU
rnacentral:rRNA from 1 species